rnacentral:lncRNA from 1 species
GUGGCUUUGUGAGGAUGGCUUUGUGUGGCUGCACAUUGCCCUUGGCCAAGCCCCGCUGCCAGGAGAGGCAGCUCGGCUGCCAAACCUCCUGAACCCAAGUUACCUGAGCAAGCAGCCCUAUCCCCUCGCCUGCUUCUCACUGCCUCGCCUGCCUUGGGCCUGCCCGACCCAGGGGGUCACAUGCCUUGUUCCCCAUCAGUGGAGACCAGGGACAAGAAGACAGUUCUGUGGGAAGAGCCAGGAGGACCAUUUGGGAAAAUACAGGUUCCAGGUGUGUCUCCAGACCUUGAGAGUUGGUGUCUCCUGGGAAGAGGCCCUGAUGAGAUCUGGGGAGAUUCGGAUCUGAUGAGAUUCAGGAAGCCCUGGCCUCUCCGUACUUGAGGAGACGGGACACACAGGACAAGCUGCAGGCUGGUGAGCAGGUUCACCUUCUAUUUUGAAGACCCGCUUCUUCCUCAGGUACCUGAUCUUGAAAACGACCUCCCCUUUCAGGUAGGACCCACCAUGACAUAUGGAGAGUGAUCUAGCCCUUGGUCCAGGCUCCUGAUAAAAAAUAUUCCAGCGCACCCCCAAGCCACAGCACUCAUUUCAGAGAACUGGCACCUCACACACAUAAAAGGCCUCUCAGGACCCAAGAAGCUCCCAGGCUCCAAGAGCAGAUACAUUGGCUU